rnacentral:rRNA from 1 species
GGGACAACAGUUGGAAACGACUGCUAAUACCGCAUAAGCCCACGACCCGGCAUCGGGAAGAGGGAAAAGGAGCAAUCCGCUUUGAGAUGGCCUCGCGUCCGAUUAGCUAGUUGGUGAGGUAACGGCCCACCAAGGCAACGAUCGGUAGCCGGACUGAGAGGUUGAACGGCCACAUUGGGACUGAGACACGGCCCAGACUCCUACGGGAGGCAGCAGUGGGGAAUAUUGCACAAUGGGGGAAACCCUGAUGCAGCGACGCCGCGUGGAGGAAGAAGGUCUUCGGAUUGUAAACUCCUGUUGUUGAGGAAGAUAAUGACGGUACUCAACAAGGAAGUGACGGCUAACUACGUGCCAGCAGCCGCGGUAAAACGUAGGUCACAAGCGUUGUCCGGAAUUACUGGGUGUAAAGGGAGCGCAGGCGGGAAGACAAGUUGGAAGUGAAAUCCAUGGGCUCAACCCAUGAACUGCUUUCAAAACUGUUUUUCUUGAGUAGUGCAGAGGUAGGCGGAAUUCCCGGUGUAGCGGUGGAAUGCGUAGAUAUCGGGAGGAACACCAGUGGCGAAGGCGGCCUACUGGGCACCAACUGACGCUGAGGCUCGAAAGUGUGGGUAGCAAACAGGAUUAGAUACCCUGGUAGUCCACACCGUAAACGAUGAUUACUGGGUGUUGGAGGAUUGACCCCUUCAGUGCCGCAG